UACGAGGGGGGCAAGCGUUGUUCGGAAUUAUUGGGCGUAAAGGGCGCGUAGGCGGUUUGACAAGUCUGAUGUGAAAUCUCUGGGCUCAACCCAGAGUCUGCAUUAGAAACUGUCGGGCUUGAGUAUGGGAGAGGUGAGUGGAAUUCCGAGUGUAGAGGUGAAAUUCGUAGAUAUUCGGAGGAACACCAGUGGCGAAGGCGGCUCACUGGCUCGAUACUGACGCUGAGGUGCGAAAGCGUGGGGAGCAAACAGG
rnacentral:rRNA from 1 species